rnacentral:rRNA from 1 species
UACGUAGGUGGCUAGCGUUGUCCGGAUUUACUGGGCGUAAAGAGCGCGCAGGCGGUCGUUCAAGUCGAGUGUGAAAGCCCCCGGCUCAACUGGGGAGGGUCACUCGAUACUGAUCGACUUGAAGGCAGGAGAGGGAAGCGGAAUUCCCGGUGUAGUGGUGAAAUGCGUAGAUAUCGGGAGGAACACCCGUGGCGAAGGCGGCACUCUGGGACGGUACUGACGCUGAGACGCGAAAGCGUGGGGAGCGAACAGG